rnacentral:rRNA from 1 species
CAAUAGCGUAUAUUAAAGUUGUUGCAGUUAAAAAGCUCGUAGUUGGAUUUCUGGUCGGAAGCUCCUGUCCUCUGAUGAGCGUACAAGUGCGUCCUACCAUCCUUCUGUUAACCUUUAAGGCUUUCGCGGCUUUCUAGGGGCUCAGAUAUUUUACCUUGAGAAAAUUAGAGUGUUUCAGGCAGGCUAGCGCCGGAAUACAUUAGCAUGGAAUAAUGGAAUAGGACUUUUGCCUCUUCUGUUGGUCAUGAGGCUCGAGUAAUGAUUAAUAGGGAUAGUUGGGUGCAUUAGUACUUAACUGUCAGAGGUGAAAUUCUCGGAUUUGUUAAAGACUAACUUAUGCGAAAGCAUUUGCCAAGGAUGUUUUCAUUAA